UCCAGACCAUCAGACACAUCAGUGUCUAGGGAGCUGGGGCUGAGUGGAUACAAGAAUGGUGAGGGCCCAGCAGGGGCACAGCAGACAGCACAAGGGGCACUCUAGAGGCCAGAACAGAGUGCCCCCGAGCCGCCAGAACAAGAAGAAUAGGAGGUUUUCCAACACGCCACUGGACAAGAAAAAAGGGUAUACACGUGUCUGUGUCACCUACUACUACUGGAAAAAGAGAUGAAUGCCGCUGACUGCCUUUCUACCACCAUGCUCCGCUGGGAAAAACAAAGCCAACCUUCACAGCUCCAUGAGAACAGAACCAGUCGCAACACCAAGAUCAGCAUCACCUGCAGCCCCUCACCUAUCCACUCAGCCUCAGCAAAGAUGACCUCCCAAUAAACUCCCUAAGAUGCA